rnacentral:rRNA from 1 species
AAGUCGAGCGCGAUCUUCGGGUUGAGCGGCGGACGGGUUAGUGACGCGUGGGAAUAUGCCCAAAGGUACGGAAUAGCCUCUGGAAACGGAGAGUAAUACCGUAUGUGCCCUUCGGGGGAAAGAUUUAUCGCCUUUGGAUUAGCCCGCGUUAGAUUAGGUAGUUGGUGGGGUAAUGGCCUACCAAGCCUACGAUCUAUAGCUGGUUUUAGAGGAUGAUCAGCAACACUGGGACUGAGACACGGCCCAGACUCCUACGGGAGGCAGCAGUGGGGAAUCUUGGACAAUGGGCGCAAGCCUGAUCCAGCCAUGCCGCGUGAGUGAUGAAGGCCUUAGGGUCGUAAAGCUCUUUCGCCAGGGAUGAUAAUGACAGUACCUGGUAAAGAAACCCCGGCU